UCAAACUUGGUCAUUUAGAGGAAGUAAAAGUCGUAACAAGGUUUCCGUAGGUGAACCUGCGGAAGGAUCAUUAACGAUUUGAAGCCAUAAGGGAAUGGAUUUCAAUUCAAUCCAUACUCACUUUGUGUGCAUCCAUUGACAAUCGUGCUUUGGGAUGGUUGUUUCCGGGCUUUGUUGGCAUGGUUUUUCUUGUCAAUGAACACCUGGGCCUCCCAGAGACAUUUUCUUAAAUCACACGUUAAAAGAAAACCUUGUAAUGCUGAACACAAUAAUAAACAAUAAAACAACUUUCAACAACGGAUCUCUUGGCUCUCGCAUCGAUGAAGAACGCAGC
rnacentral:misc_RNA from 1 species